GACGAACGCUGGCGGCGUGCUUAACACAUGCAAGUCGAACGGAAAGGCCCUGCUUUUGUGGGGUGCUCGAGUGGCGAACGGGUGAGUAACACGAGAGUAACCUGCCCUGGACUUUGGGAUAACUUCAGGAAACUGGGGCUAAUAUCGGAUAGGAGCUCCUGCUGCAUGGUGGGGGUUGGAAAGUUUCGGCGGUUGGGGAUGGACUCGCGGCUUAUCAGCUUGUUGGUGGGGCAGUGGCGUACCAAGGCUUUGACGGGUAGCCGGCCUGAGAGGGUGACCGGCCACAUUGGGACUGAGAUACGGCCCAGACGCCUACGGGAGGCAGCAGUGGGGAAUAUUGCACAAUGGGCGGAAGCCUGAUGCAGCGACGCCGCGUGCGGGAUGACGGCCUUCGGGUUGUAAACCGCUUUCGCCUGUGACGAAGCGUGGGUGACGGUAAUGGGUAAAGAAGCACCGGCUAACUACGUG
rnacentral:rRNA from 1 species